UACAGAGGUCUCAAGCGUUGUUCGGAUUCAUUGGGCGUAAAGGGUGCGUAGGUGGCGUCGUAAGUGGGGUGUGAAAUCCCGGGGCUUAACCCCGGGACUGCAUUCCAUACUGCGGUGCUUGAGAACUGGAGAGGAGACUGGAAUUUACGGUGUAGCAGUGAAAUGCGUAGAGAUCGUAAGGAAGACCAGUGGCGAAGGCGGGUCUCUGGACAGUUCCUGACACUGAGGCACGAAGGCCAGGGGAGCAAACGGG
rnacentral:rRNA from 1 species